rnacentral:lncRNA from 1 species
AAGAAAGGGAAAGCCGGUCCUGGUGCUGGAAAUGGAAGAAGCCCAGCUUCCCUUUUUCGGGUGAAAGUGGAAAUGGAAGAUCUGGGUUCAUGUGGACAUCUGGGUGGCGGCAUGGGCAUGCCUUUCUCUGGCCACCGGUGUGCAUCACACAGAAGUCCCAAGAAGCCAGGGAGUUCCCGUUUCAUCAUGUGUGCUUAAGGCAGCUAGCAUCUCCAUCACCUGUGUUUUAGAGCUAUCAAGAAGCUACAAAAAUAUGGAGAAAGAAGCAAGCAGCUGCUAACUGGAUGAAAGACAUAAAAGGGAACAGAUAAUCGGCUUUAAUGUCUGAUGCAUCGGAUUUAUUUAUGGACUCUGUAGUUAUUUAACAACGUUUGGAUUAGAAGGCCUACCUUUUAUCUUCAGUUCAUGAAGCACAAUUAAACCCGUGUUUAAUUCUCUGUCUAAUCACAUGUAAAAAUGGUGCGUAACAACAGGAUCACAGCUUCUCACUCCACCAAAGACUUCACAAACCCGUGGCCACCGUGAAAAUAGAAACAAUGGAAUCAACCCGCAAGUGCUUAUUGUGUUUCACGGUCUCUCUCGCCUUGUAGCCCAGACGGAACUGCUGGAACUAAACCUCCUGACUCAGCCUCCAGAGUGCAAGUCUGAAUGCAG